GAGCACUGUGUUGAUGUUUUGAAAGCUCAAGAAUCUUGUUUAUUGAACUUGUAAUCACCACUUCACAUUUAUUUGUACUUUGGUUUUAUUCACAUGAUAUCGCAAUCACUUUUUGAUAGAUCAUCCAUCACUCCACUAUUCUAAAUCAAACACGGUUAAUUCUUAAGUUCUUUUUGAACGUGUGACAAAAAAUAAAUAUAUUUUGAUAACAUAAUUAGUUAAACCGAUUCAUUAAAAAAAUUCAACAUAUACCGUAAACCGAAAUGUUACAGUUAGAUCUCGUGUUUCCAAAAAAUUACUCUUUAGUUUUCUCAUCCUUAAGUUUUUUUGGCAUUUUACGCCAAUCGUGAAGAAGUAUCCUAUGCUUUUUUUUUUUUUUUACUUUUGUGUUUUGGAUCUAAUUAAUGGAGUAAAUGCAGACUUUGAUUUUUUUUUUUUAAAACAACAGUUGCAGAUUAUGAAUAUUGGAGGCAUUUAUCUAUCUCUCUGCAGUGUGUCGUGUGGUUUUUGAUGUGAUGAUGCUCUACGCUAGCUCCAUAAAUAGCUUCAGCAAUUCCUUGAUAUAAUUCGACAAUGGUGCUCUCUGUUUAGAGAACAUUAGAAAAAUUAUUUAGAAUUUCAUGCAGAGUUAACGAAAUUUAAAGAACAAAUUAUAUUCUAAACAUGUGUUUUAUUCUAUGUAUAGAUUUAUAAUUUAAUCUUAAGAGAAAUUUAAAAAUGAUAGCAUAUUUCAAAUUUUUAUUCUAAAAAUUAUUAUAGAAAUAUACAUCGAAACAAAACAGAUUUCUAUAAUUGGAUUUUAAACUUUUAGGAAAAUACAUAAAC
rnacentral:lncRNA from 1 species